AUUGAACGCUGGCGGCAGGCCUAACACAUGCAAGUCGAGCGGGGUUUUCGGACCUAGCGGCGGACGGGUGGGUAAUGCGUAGGAAGCUACCCGAUAGAGGGGGAUACCAGUUGGAAACGACUGUUAAUACCGCAUAAUGUCUACGGACCAAAGUGUGGGACCUUCGGGCCACAUGCUAUCGGAUGCGCCUACGUGGGAUUAGCUAGUUGGUGAGGUAAUGGCUCACCAGGGCGACUAUCGCGAGCUGGGUUCAGAGGAUGAUCAGCCACACUGGCGCUGAGACACGGUCCAGACUGCUACGGGAGGUAGCAGUGGGGAAUAUUGGACAAGGGGCGCAAGCCUGCUCCAGACAUGCCGCGUGAGUGAAGAAGGCCUUCGGGUUGUAAAGCACUUUCAGCGAGGAGGAAGGGGUGUGUGUUAAUAGUACACACCUUUGACGUUACUCGCAGAAGAAGCACCGGCUAACACUGUGCCAGCAGCCGCGGUAACAC
rnacentral:rRNA from 1 species